UACGUAGGUGGCAAGCGUUGUCCGGAGUUAUUGGGCGUAAAGCGCGCGCAGGCGGUGCGGUAAGUCUCUGGUGAAAGCGCUCGGCUUAACUGGGCGAGGGCCGGGGAGACUGCCACGCUGGAGGGAGCAGAGGCGAGUGGAAUUCCGGGUGUAGUGGUGAAAUGCGUAGAGAUCCGGAGGAACACCAGUGGCGAAGGCGGCUCGCUGGGCUCUACCUGACGCUGAGGCGCGAAAGCUAGGGGAGCAAACAGG
rnacentral:rRNA from 1 species